UACGGAGGAUGCGAGCGUUAUCCGGAUUUAUUGGGUUUAAAGGGUGCGUAGGCGGACUGUUAAGUCAGCGGUAAAAGCCCGGGGCUCAACCCCGGCGAGCCGUUGAAACUGGCUUGCUAGAGUGGGCGAGAAGUAUGCGGAAUGCGUGGUGUAGCGGUGAAAUGCAUAGAUAUCACGCAGAACUCCGAUUGCGAAGGCAGCAUACCGGCGCCCAACUAACGCUCAGGCACGAAAGCGUGGGUAUCGAACAGG
rnacentral:rRNA from 1 species